GAUGAACGCUGGCGGUGUGCCUAAUACAUGCAAGUCGAGCGAACAGACGAGGAGCUUACUCCUCUGACGUUAGCGGCGGACGGGUGAGUAACACGUGGAUAACCUACCUAUAAGACUGGGAUAACUUCGGGAAACCGGAGCUAAUACCGGAUAACAUGUUGAACCGCAUGGUUCAACAGUGAAAGACGGUCUUGCUGUCACUUAUAGAUGGAUCCGCGUCGCAUUAGCUAGUUGGUAAGGUAACGGCUUACCAAGGCAACGAUGCGUAGCCGACCUGAGAGGGUGAUCGGCCACACUGGAACUGAGACACGGUCCAGACUCCUACGGGAGGCAGCAGUAGGGAAUCUUCCGCAAUGGGUGAAAGCCUGACGGAGCAACGCCGCGUGAGUGAAGAAGGUCUUCGGAUCGUAAAACUCUGUUAUUAGGGAAGAACAAAUGUGUAAGUAACUAUGCACGUCUUGACGGUACCUAAUCAGAAAGCCACGGCUAACUACGUG
rnacentral:rRNA from 1 species